AAAUGAAUAGACGGGGGCUCACACAAGCGGUGGAGCAUGUGGCUUAAUUCGAAGCAACGCGAAGAACCUUAUCCUGGGUUUGACAUGCAUGGAUUAGCGCCUGGAAACAGGCGUGACGCUCUUGUAGUGGAACAUGCACAGGUGCUGCAUGGCUGUCGUCAGCUCGUGCUGUGAAGUGUCGGGUUAAGUCCCUUAACGAGCGAAACCCCUGUCACUAGUUGCCAACAGGUAAUGCUGGGGACUCUAGUGAGACUGCCGGUGUCAAACCGGAGGAAGGUGGGGAUGACGUCAAGUCCUCAUGGCCUUUAUGCCCAGGGCUGCACACGUGCUACAAUGGCGCGCACAGAACGACGCAAGACCGUAAGGUGGAGCAAAUCGCUAAAAACGCGCCCCAGUUCGGAUUGUGGGCUGCAACUCGCCCACAUGAAGUCGGAAUCGCUAGUAAUCGCGGAUCAGCUACGCCGCGGUGAAUACGUUCCUGAGCCUUGUACACACCGCCCGU
rnacentral:rRNA from 1 species